GACGAACGCUGGCGGCGUGCUUAACACAUGCAAGUCGCACGAAGUGGCAACCGGGUGAGUAACGCGUAAUCAACCUGCCCUUCAGAGGGGGACAACAGUUGGAAACGACUGCUAAUACCGCAUACUGAAGGAGGGGAUUGCGUGUGAUUGGCUAGUUGGAGGGGUAACGGCCCACCAAGGCGAUGCUCAGUAGCCGGUCUGAGAGGAUGAACGGCCCAAUUGGGACUGAGAAACGGCCCAGACUCCUACGGGAGGCAGCAGUGGGGAAGCGUCCGCAAUGGACGAAAGUCUGACGGAGCAACGCCGCGUGAGUGAUGACGGCCUUCGGGUUGUAAAGCUCUGUUAAUCGGGACGCGGUACCGGAAUAGAAAGCCACGGCUAACUACGUGCCAGCAGCCGCGGUAAUAC
rnacentral:rRNA from 1 species